rnacentral:lncRNA from 1 species
CUCCAAUUUGGAGAAAAACCUACGAGACCAACACGCGAAAACACAAUCUACUAAGAAAAAAGAUUACAAGGUGAUUACUGACAACACGGACUCAACCUCUCUUAACCUUAUAUGAAUCUCGCGCAAGCUUCCGGGUUGUCCACGCCCUCACGUUCAAAUCCACGAACGCCUCGGACACGUCCGAAUCCACGAAUGCCACUCGAAUCCACGAGCUCACGAUCCGAAUCCUCGAACCGCCUUCGAUCACGCCGAAUCCACGACGCCGCAUAUGAAGAACAUCAUGUUCAUGGUGAUUCUU